rnacentral:rRNA from 1 species
AGCGAACGCUGGCGGCGUGCCUAACACAUGCAAGUCGAACGUGAAAAGGGGUAACCCUGAGUAAAGUGGCGUACGGGUGAGAAACGCGUAGGUAAUCUACCUUAGAGCCUGGAAUAACCGACCGAAAGGUUGGCUAAUACUGGAUAGGACGAUGUUACUGUAAAGGUAGUGUCGGGAAAGGGAGGGUGUUAAAGCUCCCUCACUCUAAGAUGAGCCUGCGUCUGAUUAGUUAGUUGGUGAGGUAACGGCUCACCAAGACGAUGAUCGGUAGCUGGUCUGAGAGGAUGAUCAGCCACACUGGAACUGAAACACGGUCCAGACUCCUACGGGAGGCAGCAGUGGGGAAUCUUGCGCAAUGGACGAAAGUCUGACGCAGCAACGCCGCGUGAGUGAAGAAGGCCU